UAUAUGGCGGAGACCUACAGACGUGAGAUAUGGUCUAGGCGCUAAGGUUGCAAAAAUGGAAAGAGGAAAACAGACAAAAAAGCUAGAGAAAAAUGUUAAGAGUGGAGAGUUAAAGAUGCGAGAUACAGUCUAGACGCUAAGAUUGCAAAAAUGGAAAGAGAACAGACAAAAGAGGCUGAGAAAAUAUUUAUAGUGGAGAUUUAGAGAUGCGAGAUACAGUCUAGACGCUAAGAUUGCAAAAAUGGAAAGAGAAGAACAGACAAAAGAGGCUGAGAAAAUAUUUAUAGUGGAGAUUUAGAAAUGCGAGAUACAGUCUAGACGCUAAGAUUGCAAAAAUGGAAAGAGAAGAACAGACAAAAGAGGCUGAGAAAAUAUUUAUAGUGGAGACUUAUAGAUGCGAGAUACAGUCUAGAUGCUAAGAUUGCAAAAAUGGAAAGAGAAGAACAGACAAAAGAGGUUGAGCUAAAGAUGCGAAAUACUAAGGUUGUCAUAAUGAUUAAUUAAAACUGACAAGAGGUGGAGAAUAAAAUAUAUAGAGGGGACCUAUAACUGUGAGGUACCUACAGUCUAGAUGCUAAGGUUGCAAAAAUGACAAAGGAAGAUGAUGAAAUGUGAAAAAUAUGUAUCAGAGCGCUACAGAAGUGAGGUACAAUCUAGGCGCUGAAGUUGCUGAAAUGACGAGGGAAAUGGGAGAAAAAGAGGCUUGGGGUGAACACGUGUGAGGACGCCUAAGUGAUGCCUGGAAAAUGAUGAAAUGUGAAAAAUAUGUAUCAGAGCGCUACAGAAGUGAGGUACAAUCUAGGUGCUGAAGUUGUUGAAAUGACGAGGGAAAUAAGAGAAAAAGAGGCUUGGGGCGAACACUUGUGUGGACGCCUAAGUGAUGCCCGGCCGAGGUGGCAACUCACUGCUGCCUGGGACUGCAUUAGGUCAAGCGGCUAUUACGAAAAUGCUGUACACACUGAUUCUUUGUCAUCUGUCAAUAUACCGAAAAAUUUGAGGAUUUUUUUUUUUAUAACAAAGGAGAUGAAUAAAAACCAUUGAAUUCUCUGAGUCCCGGCAGCAGUGAGGAGCCGCCCGGUGCGAGUCGACAUCAAUAAGUCCACCAGGAGAGAUUGGGAAACACUUGAUUGGCAGCAUAAGUAACGGCAAAGCAUAAAGGUAUCACACGCUGCCCUAAGUACAUGCUCUGUGUCGCUAAGGUGAGAGAGAGAGAGAGAGAGAGAGAGAGAGCAACACAUUCGGAUACAGCUAACUCAUCUCAGCGCUGGUUUAUUCCGAGGAGGGGGCGUAACAUAUGCAAGAACAAUAUAUACACUCAUGCUGAAAGAGGGAAAAAACAAACAAAAAAACCGUGUUAAAAAUAAAUAUAUCAACAACCGAAAAAAAAAGAAGGGGGACGAAAAAACGCUUCUAAAAUUCGUCUUCGCUAAAAUCUCCUCUCGGCGGCGCGGAGGACGUCAGUUACAUUUUUUACAAAGUUACCGGUAAAAAGUAAUAAAUAUACAGUACAUAUAUAUGUGUACAUAAUACUAUACAAAAACUGUACUAGUCUCUUCCUAUCCAAUAUACCAAUGUUAAGUAUAUCACAUGUAAAGCCAUCAUAUAGACCUCUGGGUGCAAAUGACUUCUAUGCAAAAAAUAAUUCAUUCCGCUGUAUAGACGGGCUCGUAGAAACUGACUAAAGGGAGAAGGGUAGGGAGAUAACAGUAGUGGCAGUAGUAGUAGUAGUAGUAGUAGUAGUAGUAGUAGUAGUAGUUUGGUUGAGCUGGAGAGGGAACAUAAGUGAUGGCAGUAGCAACAGUGAUGGAAGUAUAAGUAGUAGUAGUAGUAGUAGUAGUAGUAGUAGUAGUAGUAGUGGUAAUAGUUAAAAAGUAGAGACAGCAGAAGUACGUAGUUGAAGUAGUAUGGUUGAGUUGUAGAAAGAACAUAAGUACGUAGUAGUAGUAGUUGUAGUAGAAAUAGUAGCAGAUGUAGUAGUUGUAGUAGUUGCAGUAGUUGAGCCACACAGCAGAGGUAAGAUUAAGUAGUAAUAACAGCAUUUCAAUCCCUCAGAUCUCACAAUACUUGUCGGUGUGUACACGAGAUCCAUAAGGUUCCUAAUACGAGGGUUUGGGGGCAACACAGCGACCCAUAUAUACACCUAGUACCCAAUAUCUACACUCCUAGGACAGCAGGGCGAACACAGCAGGUCACACACACACACACACACACACACACACACACACACACACACACAGAGACGCGCACCGAAACAAAGAACACGAUAGGGGACCAAACUUGCAUUCAGCGAUUAAAAACAAGGAGUCACGAGCGUCCAAUCGGCAAUAUAGAUUUCCGCCUGCUAUGAGCAAAUAUAGUCUACUACGCUAGGUUACGAAACUCUCUUCCUCACUUUUAAUAAUCCCUUGAGAUCAGCUGACUAUUUAAAACAAAGGUUAUAAUAAUCUUUAAAGCUUGACACCAGGACCUAAAUACUAAACAGCCUCCCUUUUUACCUUCCUGCCGGCCUAACCACCGCCCGCCCUUCCUCCUGCCUGCACCCCUAUCCCCCGUCCCCCCAGGCCUGUGUUCGGGCAGGGCGGGCAGGUGCUUGCUCAUGGUCCUGGAACACUGGCACUUCAAGGCACUUAACCUUCACUGGUGAGAAAAAUCUAUGGCAAGCUGGAAGUAGUGACGCUCUGAUGCCUGGCUGACUGACCCUCCUGCAGGCGGUGUGACAGGGCUUUGAAGAGUGACCCGCAGGAGUUGAUUUACUGGGCAGUGUUGCGAUACAGUCUUUCCUCCACCUGUACAGUGUUAGAAUAGUCUUUCCUCCACCUGGGCAGUGUUGCGAUUAAAGUCUUUCCUCCACCUGGGCAGUGUUGCGAUUAAAGUCUUUCCUCCACCUGGGCAGUGUUGCGAUUAAAGUCUUUCCUCCACCUGGGCAGUGUUACGAUAGUCUUUCCUCCACCUGGGCAGUGUUACGAUAAAGUUUUUCAUCGAACUGGGCAGUGUUGCAAUAGUCUUUCCUCCAUAAGGGCAGUGUUGUGAGGAGGUCGUUUCUCCACCCCCAGAAAUGAAUUUAUUGGGCAGUGUUGUGAUGAAGUUUUUCCACCAACCCCAGGAAUUGAUUUACAAGGCAGUGUUGCGAUAGUCUCUCAUCCACAAGGGCAGUGUUGCGAUAGUUUUUCAUCCACAAGGGCAGUGUUGCGAUAAUCUUCUCUUCAUCCCCAAGAAUUAAUUUACCAGACAGUGUUGCGAUGCCUUUUCUCUACCCAGGCAGUGUUGCGAUAAGUCUGAUUUACUGGGCAAGUGUUGCAGUCUUUACUUCACCCUCAGAAAUUGAGUUACUGGGCAGUGUUGUGAUAGUGUUUCCGCCACCCCUAGGAAUUGAUUUACUGGGCAGUGUUGCGAUAGUGUUUCCGCCACCCCUAGGAAUUGAUUUACUGGGCAGUGUUGCGAUAGUGUUUCCGCCACCCCUAGGAAUUGAUUUACUGGGCAGUGUUGCGAUAGUGUUUCCGCCACCACUAGGAAUUGAUUUACUGGGCAGUGUUGCGAUAGUGUUUCCGCCACCCCUAGGAAUUGAUUUACUGGGCAGUGUUGCAAUAAAAUCUUUCCUUCAUGACCCCAAACAGUAGAAUGGAUUAUAUAUUUUUUUCACAGAACCUGGUGUACCAAAAUCAACCACCAUACAUUCAGUCCGACGAGAAACGCUUUGCAACAUCAGAUUCAACGUUAAUUCAUCAUGGUGUGUAAGCUAAUUCUGCAGCUGGAACGGAUCACCAAUUAGGCAACACUGCGAUACACUCCCACAGCACCUGACCCCCGAGAAUUGACCAUCACUGCGGGCUCUUUUUUCGUUACCGUUUUCCUCUCUUUUUUUGCCCUUGAGCGGUUUCCUUUGCCGAAAAAUAAGAAAAAAAAUAAUAAUAAUGGUCUGUAGCUUGAACGGAUCACCAAUUAGGCAACACUGCAAUACACCCCCGAGAACUGACCAUCACUGCGGGCUCUUUUUCCGUUACUGUUUUCCUCUUUUUUUUUGCCCUUGAGCGGUUUCCUUUGCUGUAAAAAAAAAAAAUAAAUAAAUAAAUAAAUAAAAUAAAUAAAUAAAUAAAAAUAUCAAAGCACUGUCACAUCCACCUGCAAGAAUCUAACCUCACAUAUUAGUAUCGUAACAAAAUCCUGCACUUUUAAACUACAAGAACUCACCAUCACAAGCAAAUAAAAAAACUCCCUUAGAAACAUUAGGCCGUCUAGCGAGGGCCGACUGACUAACUGACUGACUGGCUAGCGUCUGAAGCCUCUCUACCAGGACUGCUGAUCUGGUAGUCUAUUCGCCGUACCGUGGUUAGUGGUAGGAGUGGUUGUCUUUGUCUUGCGUGGUUUUGUGAUCCCCUCAAGCCUACCCUAGUAUGUGAGAGGGAGUAAGGUGUGUUUUUUUUAUAGUCCCUGCUUCAUAUAAUUUUCCCGUCCUCUGUUUAUUUUCCUUUCUUUACCUCUAUUUUUCUAUCCUCGGCUUUCAUAAUCAUCCUCCACUUAAGUCCGACCCAAGCUGACAACAUAAACCUAAGCGUGUUUGCAAGCUGAGUGCUGAUUGGCUACUGCUGUGGCUUCCAAGUUUUCUUUAACCUCUGUCUGUGUUUAUCUCACGCAGCACUUUCGGCUAAUCUGCACUGUGCUUACGAAUACGCUUAGGUUUAUGUCGUCAGCUUGGGGCAGACUUAAGUGAACAGAUGAUAGCAGUGUGGGUGUUUGUUCUUUCCCUCCUACCUUUCCUAUUUCCUUCCCAGUCCCUGCUCCCAAUCAUUUCCCUAUAAUCGGUCCAUCCUUAACUUCCAUUCUUCUAUUCCAAGCUCUCAGAACCUUGCAUCACUUAGGUAUCAGUGUGAGUGGCAAUAUGUCCUUUCCCUUUUAUCAUUUCCCAGUCCCUGCUACCCAUCAUUUUCCUAUACUCAGUCCAUCCUAUUCCAUCUAUUCCCAGCACUCAGAACCUUGCAUCACUAAGGUAGCAGUGUGAGUGGCAAUAUGUCCUUUCCCUUUUAUCAUUCCCUCUUUGUUUCCCAGUCCCUGCUACCCAUCACUUUCCUAUACUCAGUCCAUCCUUCAAUUCUUAUAUUCCCAGCACUCAGAACCAUGCAUCACUAAGGUAUCAGUGUGAGUGGCAAUAUGUCCUUUCCCUUUUAUCAUUCCCUCUUUGUUUCCCAGUCCCUGCUACCCAUCACUUUCCUAUACUCAGUCCAUCCUUCAAUUCUUAUAUUCCCAGCACUCAGAACCAUGCAUCACUAAGGUAGCAGUGUGAGUGGUUGCCCGUCCAUCCCUUCCCUCCCUCCCUCCCUCCCUUCCCAAAUCUCCCCAUACACACACACACACACACACACACGCACAAUUCCUAUGUAGUCAUGACAAGCUGAGGAACAAACAUGUCAUCAAAAGCAACUAUCACAUGAAAACAGCGUAUUAGGUACAUUCUAGGCAUCCUAAUGGUGACACGCACACACACACACACACACACGCACAUGACAUUACCUCUCAUUCUGAACUUAUUUCUGAAAACAUAACAAAAUAGGGAAUUGUAUCUGCUGUGGGAAAAAUGCAUCUGGUAUUUUGUUACGGUUAAAAAAAGAAUUGUCAAAAGAACACAGUAAUUGAAAGCACCAAUGUCAAACGCAACAUCUGACAAAAUUGUAAAUGGAGUAAAUGAACAGAACUCUCGGAGGAAUCUUUUCCGUUACCACGUACGUCGACAAGAGGCGGAGGAAAAUCAACAACAACAAUAACGUAAAUAAAGGCGGUGAAGUCAACACACACACACACACACACACACACACACAUACACACCCUAGUACAGCUCUUUUCCUGUAUUUCACAACUAGGUAAAUACACACACACACACACACACACACACACACACACAAUAAACUAUACAAUAUAACCUCUCACACACAAAACAAGUUAUAACAUGGAUAAAUACACAAAGAAGCACCUUGGUUGAUCGACUCUUGGUUACAUUAUCCUAUUCCGAUUCGAGAAGAAGACCAAAAAUAAACGGAACCUGAAGAAAACGGAGAGAAAGAGAAAUGGAGCGGCUGCCUGGGACUGAACCCGUGACCAGCGUAACGGGAGAGUCACUCCUUUACCAGUCAGCCAAAGAGGUACCCCCCUGGCUAAGUGGGUUAUGGGAGGCUCGUUCAUCAGGCACAGUCGCCGCACUACACGUAACACAAUAUAUGCUCGAGAAAAAUACUGAUCAAAACGAAACACUCCGGACUGACCACAAGGCAGGGCAGUAACGACCUCAGACCUGGUGACGGUGACCUGCAUAAUUGAGUUCGCUAACCACGGUCUGUCUUGCAAUCCCUUGUAUACGCACACACGCACGCACGCACGGAGAAAGGAUGACCUCUCUCGGAACCUAAAUUUUUUUGCAUUGCCUCACGUAACUUUUUUUUCACAUUUUAUAUUCGAUUCUUACGGUCUUUCCUCCUCCUCCUCCUUUUCCUUACCUUCAUACUCACGAUAUAAGUAUACUUCAAGACUUCACACCGACUUGCAUUAUUUUUUUUCUCCAAGUUUUACAUUCGAAUCUUGCGCUCAAAUGCUCGGAGCUCUUUUCUCCUCCUCCUCCUUCUCCUUUUCUUCCCCUUCACACACACAUUAUAAGUAUACCUCAACACUUCACAUUCAACUCGGAGGGCAGUCAAACACGUAAUCAAUCAUCAACGCUUCUCCAAAUUGUAUGAGUCGGUAAAAUUCAGGAAAAAGUUGAAUUAGGUUAAGAUUUCCUAAGAUGCACAUUAAGUUAAGAACACAAAUUACGUUACGAUGAAAAGGCCUCAAGGUCAAUGUCGACAGCGUUUUGAGUAGGCGUGAGUGUUUUGACGAUGGCGAGAGACCGCGAGGGGAGGCAGAAACUGGACAUCACCUAAUUGCUUCUUUUUUUCUUUCAUUUUCAAUCCUUGUAUUUUUAUUAACCACAUUUUUUACUUUCAUUUUCCAUCCUUGUCUCUUAAUUAGAAACUCUUCUUCAUCCGUUCAUUCUCAAUCCUUAGUUGCUUUUCAAUUACUCGUUUUUUUCUGUUGAUUAAUUAAUAACUUCUUUUCAUCCGUUCAUUCUCAAUCCUUGUCUCAUUUUUUCAAUUACUACUUUUUUCUGUUCAAUCUUCAUCCUCGUCUCUCUGUCAAUAACUCCUUUUUUCCUUUCAUUCUUCAUCCUUGUCUUUUUAUUAAUCACAUUUUUGACUUUCAUUCUCCAUCCUUGUCUCUUAAUUGAUAACUCCUCUUCAUCCGUUCAUUCUCAAUCCUUAGUCGCUUUUCAAUUACUCGUUUUUUCCGUUGAUUAAUUAAUAACUUUUCAUCCGUUCAUUCUCAAUCCUUGUCUCAUUUUUUCAAUUACUCCUUUUUUUCUGUUCAAUCUUCAUCCUCGUCUCUCUGUCAAUAACUCCUUUUUUCCUUUCAAACUCCAUCCCUGUCUUUUUAUUAACCACAUUUUUUACUUUCAUUUUCCAUCCUUGUUUCUUAAUUAGUAACUCCUCUUCAUCCGUUCAUUCUCAAUCCUGAGUUGCUUUUUCAAUUACUCGUUUUUUCCGUUAAUUAAUUAAUAACUUUUCAUUCGUUCAUUCUCAAUCCUUGUCUCAUUUUUUCAAUUACUCCUUUUUUUCUGUUCAAUCUUCAUCCUUGUCUCUCUGUCAAUAACUCCUUUUUCCUUUCAUUCUUCAUCCGUGUCUAUCAAUUACUCCUUUUUUUCUGUUCAAUCUUCAUCCUUGUCUCUCUGUCAAUAACUCCUUUUUCCUUUCAUUCUUCAUCCGUGUCUAUCAAUUACUCCUUUUUUUCUGUCCAUUCUCCCUCCGUCUCUAAAUUAAUAACUUCUUUUUUAAUUUCCUUUUCCAAUUUUGUCUAUUAAUUGAUUCUCCAUCCCUGUCUUUUAAUUGAUAACUCUUUCUUUCCUUUCCUUUCCUUCUCCGUCCGUCUCUAAAUUAAUACAUAACUUCUUUUUAUUUAGCUUCUCCAUUCUUAAUUAAUUCCCCAUCCCUGUCUUUUAAUUGAUAACUCUUUCUUUCCUUUCCAUCACUGUCUCUGGUCCUCUCUGCCUCCGUCGGGGUCUCAGCGCCUGCCACCGCCCACCCCCGGCAGCCGAGGCGUGGGGGGGCGGCAGUGACAAGGUGGCCCAUAGGGUACACUCGCCAAUAGUACAGACGCACCCUUCCAGUCUGUACUCAUGCCAGGGAAACAAAAAUAAGUAAAUAAAUAAAUAAAUAAAUAAGUAAACACAUAAAAUUGAUCUGAGGUUUAACACUGAUGAAGGAAAAGACUGACAAGGAUUCUUUUCUUUGGCUUUUUUUUUUUUUUUAAUGUUAAUGUUUUUACUCCUACGUUUUUUUAUGCUUUUUAAAUUGAUCUGAGUUUUAAUACUGAUGAAGAAAAACUGACAAUCAUUCACUUCUUUGACUUUUUUUAAUUUUAACCUUAUUUUAUUUUAACCUUAAUAUAGUUUUUUAUGCUCUUUUAUUUUGUUGUACGUGCAUGGAACAAGACUACACCGGAAGGAUCACGGUUUCUGCAUGAGUACUAACCAGAAUGGCGGACGCAAAUUCACGAGCGUACCCUAUGGAGCAGCAAUUGAGCAUCCGGGGAACUACAGCCAGCCAGCACCACCGACCCCGCUCUCCUCUCCUUCCUGAUACAAAAUGCUCCCGUGUGAACCAGCGGACAGACGGUGGUCACGCCUCGGUGCAGUGAUAUGCUUCGUGUUGUAAAAGGUUUUAGUUUUAAUGGUGGUUUCUUUUAACCCGUCCACUGCGAUUGGCAUGGAUUUGGCUUUCAGUGGUAGCCUAGUAACACAUAGUCCCACAUCUUUCUCUGCCUCUGUGGUGGAUAGUGGAGUGUUUCCUAUGUGGUAGUGGUAUGGUGGAUAUCCCCUCCCAAGGUGCAGGACUUUACAUUUACAUUUGUUCCAUUCCUGUAGCUUGGUGAGGUGUUCUGGUAGGAAAUCCGUAGUCAAGGGGUUGAUACUAGAAUCUGAGCCUUUCCCUUCCCCAUGAUAAGUGUGACGAUACCAUCAAGGCAUUCAAGUGAUUCCGUUUUACCGAGCGAAUUUGCCAAACGUUUCCUGGAGACCCAAACUGAUUCAUGGUUUUAUUUGAGAUCCUGAAAGCUGCCUCUCUAUCAUUCCCCCUUGGCUGACCACACAAGCAGGGGUCAACGUUUAAACGACCUCCUGAUGGCUUCCUUCCUCUCUCCCCUCUCAUUCCAACUUGGCCGAUCACACAAACGCAGUUACCUCAAGAUCACACAAGCAUGGGGUUAAGUUUUAAAGGAGAUCCCGAUAGCUUCCCCUCUUCCCUUUCAUUCCCCCUUGUCAAAUCGCACAAACACUAAUCCUUUUUAACCUGGUAGCUGCGGGGAUCAUGUUUCUUAAAGGUCCCUCUGAACGAGAAAAAUGAGAAAAAAUCAUCACUCACGCAAACCAUUUCAUAAUAUGUAUCAAAGCAUUUGUGAUCAGUUUAUACAUCAUCUAUUUUGGGGGUCUUUAUCAUGGCACAAAUUUGGCCCGUCGCUGGUACAUGGUAAAGCCACAAAUUUGGCCCGUCGCUGGUACAUGGUAAAGCCACAAAUUUGGCCCGUCGCUGGUACACAGUAAAGCCACAAAUUUGGCCCGUCGCUGCUACACGAUAAAGCCACAAAUUUGGCCCGUCGCUGGUACCGGGUUAAGAGAAUCACACACACUAUUCUGCUUUUGAGAUAUUCAGAUUCUUCCUCUCCUCCCCUCCCCACACUAGACAAUGUUACGUAUACCACCACUUUCUUUCCUCCUCGGCAAUUUAUAUAUACAAAAGAGCGAGAGAGAGACUACACACGUACAUACAUACACCGAUAGACAUCACACAUAUGCGUUUUUUUUCCGCAGUUCGACGAUGUGUAUUAAAUGUAGCGCGGUGUGUACAGGCUGAUGAUGAUGAUGAUGUGGAUAUGUUGACUUAGUGUGUACGUGUCUUGGGGUUCGGAGAGAGUACACAGUUUGUAUUCGCUUGUCACGGCCUCGAGGAAGGGAGUAACGUCGCCCGUCCACACACACACACACACACGCACACACACACACACACACACAC